CGGCGCGGGCAGGCGGCCUGGGCGCGCACGGUCGCGCGUUGGAGCUGUUCUUCCGAGGGCUCGCGGGCCCCCCUCGCCGGAAAAUGCCCACGGAGGCCGCGGCUGGGGGCGGGGAGGAGGCCGCCUCCGCGUGUCAGACAUCUCAGGAAUUCCGGACGCUUCGCCCGAAUCCGGGAUGCCCCUGCGGCUGACACCUUGGCUAAAUCAUGCCGCUCGGUUUUUGCAGCCACCGAUGCCGACGUUCCGAAAUCAGGGACGGAGCCAUCAUAGAAAGUUUUGGAGGCUGUGCACGCUCUCCCAGGCUUUCCCAGCUAUUUCAAACCCCUCCCCACCUUUCUGGGCGCAGCCUGCCUUCUCCAUCGGAAUGCCCCUUAAAUUAAUCCUUUGGAGCUCUUACUGUAUUCUCGUCCAACUCCCUGUUUUUCUUUUUCACGCACCGUCUCAGCUUCUAGAUUCUUAAUUCGCCCACAACUCCAUUAACAUUCUGGCUUUCGUUUAUUUUUAUUCUAUCUACCCGUUCUGCCUGGCUAAAUAUUGCUAGGUGUGCUCUCCAAGCUUGAAAACCUAAGUAUGCUAGUAGCCAUGCUGUGCUGGCUACUUUGUAAUGAGCAGACAGCCACUGGCUAAAAAUUGUAUUUUGUAGCUACCUUAAUAAAAUAGACUUUAAUAAGUGUGACGCUAAAACGGAUAUUUAUAUAGAUAGCAUUUUACAGCAAGUCACUAAUUUAUUGAUUUCUAAGCUCGACUUUGCCAUUUUAUGAUAGUGUUCAUAUCAGUUUUUCUUAAGCUGCCCACAAAUACAGUAGCAACAGAUACAAUCUUAUAGGUAUAAAGAAAAACCACACUGUAAUAAAUAUCUGUCUCUAUCCUAUGUGACUGAUUUCCAACCGAUGUGCCCCUCCUCCAGUUAUUAGAACGUUGACAUACUAAGGCAACCAUUCAGAUUAGCACAGGCCCUGAAGGAAAUCAGAGUAAACCUAAAGUAAAUUACGCAAAAAGUAGGUUGGCAGACAGCUUACUUCGGACUGAUUCUCUGUGAUAGCAGUCGUUGCCCUGACUGUCAGAAGUUCUUUUGGAUUGCUAACUCUUUCAAAAUUGCCCUGCUAACACAGGGAAAGUCCACACUGAACUUGAUUGCUUUGAAGGAAGUGGCCAAGAGGGUCCCUGCCGAGGUGAGAGAGCCCUGCCUUGACUCCGCCCAAGCUCACCUUCCACCUGUACAAUCAACGUCUUCCUCCUGCGCGUCUUCUCCCUGCUCCCCACCCCCACCCCAUUCACCACAGUUUCACUUCCAACACAACACUUAAGCAUUUGCAUCCUUUAACACGAAAUUAAAUUUGAGUCGAAUUUCUAUUGGUGAUAAUGAAGGAAACUGCCAUAAUUAAUCUUCUAGGUAACCUGGAAAGAAUGUGACAAUUUCUCAAGAAAUGUGUCCUUGUCUUCAGUCAAAUCAAUCUGGAAGAUUAUCAGGGUGAGGCAGAAUCUCGAGUUUAUGAUCAUGCAGCAACAGAGGACAUUGAUGGUCUUCAUAUCUAGAAAGCUGCGCCCUUGCCCCUACCCCCACCCCCGGUGUGACAGCCUCACACGACAUUGAUCAAUGAACUGUCAUGUCCGGGGUGGAAUGCCGUAAAAUAGUUUUAUAUAGGCUUCACCUAAAGAGUAACCUGUAAAUUAUGCUGCUCCAAACAAGUGAACAUGUAGGCAGGAAGGACUCUGGUACAGAUGCCCGUUUAUUGUUGACGAGGUUCAGUGAUUCAAUCCUUGCUGUCAUCUGAGAAUCUCCCCAUCAGACCCACUGACAGAUGUGUUACAGAUGCAUAUCUAUUGAUAGAAGUUAACCUCUAAAAGCCAAGACCCCCAGCUCACAGAUAAUAACAGCCUCCGCUUCUCUGGUACAUUCUAAAGUAUCUCUAGUCCUCACAACAACGUUACAUACCCAUUAUAUGGAUGAGAAAACAAGUCCUGAGUAGUUAAAUGACCUUCCCAAGGUCAUACCACCAGUAAGUGGUGAAGCCAAGAUUCAAACCCAAUGUAAUUGCAAAGCGCAUGUUCUUUCCAUCACACCAAGAUGAUCCAAGAUUAUUUGGAAAUAGAGUCUUUACAGCAGUAAUCAAGAUGAGGACAUGAGAGUGAACCCUAAUCCAAUAUGCCCGGUGUCCUUUUAAAAAGAAGAAAUCUGGACCCAGAGACAGACACACACAGACAGAAGGAAGACGGUGUGAGGACACAGGGAGAACACCAGCGGCACCCAAGGAGCACCUGGGGCUGCCGGGAGCCAGGAGGGAGGUUGGGAGCAAAUUCUGCCUCACAGCUAUCAGAGGGAACCACCGACACCCUGAUUUUGGACUUCUGGCCUCCAGAACUGUGAGACGCUAAAUCUCUGUUGUUGAAGCCCCCUGGUCUGUGGUACUUUGUAACGGCGGCCACUGCAGACUAGCACACAGAUUCAAGCCAAGGUUUAAGCCAAGCCCGGUUCUUCUCGUUGGUUCCACACCUGUUCAUUCCCGCUCAUGCUGGUGCGCUAUACUAAACCCGAAAGGUGAGAAGGUGAACAGUUUACAAUUCAUCCCUGGACAGCCGUGUGGCCGGAAGCUGACACCCUCGCUCUUCUCACAGACUUCUGAGUGAAGGCCCUUGGUUGCUCCCUUUGUACAAGCUUUAUUGUUUGUUCUGAUUUUAACAGUAAUUCACGUUUAUCAAACAAAUUAGAAAUAAACAAUAAAUUAACA